rnacentral:rRNA from 1 species
CCUACGGGUGGCAGCAGUGGGGAAUAUUGGGCAAUGGGCGCAAGCCUGACCCAGCAACGCCGCGUGAAGGAAGAAGGCUUUCGGGUUGUAAACUUCUUUUCUCAGGGACGAAGCAAGUGACGGUACCUGAGGAAUAAGCCACGGCUAACUACGUGCCAGCAGCCGCGGUAAUACGGAGGUGGCAAGCGUUAUCCGGAUUUACUGGGUGUAAAGGGCGUGUAGGCGGGACUGCAAGUCAGAUGUGAAAACCAUGGGCUCAACCUAGUGCCUGCAUUUGAAACUGUAGUUCUUGAGUACAGGGGAGGCAGACGGAAUUCCUGGUGUAGCGGUGAAAUGCGUAGAUAUUAGGAGGAACACCAGUGGCGAAGGCAGUCUGCUAGACAGCAACUGACGCUGAGGCGCGAAAGCGUGGGGAGCAAACAGGAUUAGAUACCCCUGUAGUC